AGGGACAUAGUUUAGUGGUUAGGGUAUCUGGCUUAUGAUCAUAAGGUCAUGAGUUCAAUUCCCGUUGGCACGU
rnacentral:tRNA from 1 species